UGGGCGAAAGCCUGAUCCAGCAAUGCCGCGUGGGUGAAGAAGGUCUUCGGAUUGUAAAGCCCUUUCGACGGGGACGAUGAUGACGGUACCCGUAGAAGAAGCCCCGGCUAACUUCGUGCCAGCAGCCGCGGUAAUACGAAGGGGGCUAGCGUUACUCGGAUUGACUGGGCGUAAAGGGCGCGUAGGCGGCUUGUACAGUCAGACGUGAAAUUCCUGGGCUCAACCUGGGGGCUGCGUUUGAUACGUGCGGGCUUGAGUUCGGAAGAGGGUCGUGGAAUUCCCAGUGUAGAGGUGAAAUUCGUAGAUAUUGGGAAGAACACCGGUGGCGAAGGCGGCGACCUGGUCCGAUACUGACGCUGAGGCGCGAAAGCGCGGGGAGCAAACAGGAUUAGAUACCCUGGUAGUCCACGCCGUAAACGAUGUGUGCUGGAUGUUGGGUGACAUAGUCAUUCAGUGUCGUAGCUAACGCGAUAAGCACACCGCCUGGGGAGUA
rnacentral:rRNA from 1 species